AUUGAACGCUGGCGGCAGGCCUAACACAUGCAAGUCGAGCGGAUGAAGGGAGCUUGCUCCUGGAUUCAGCGGCGGACGGGUGAGUAAUGCCUAGGAAUCUGCCUGGUAGUGGGGGAUAACGUCCGGAAACGGGCGCUAAUACCGCAUACGUCCUGAGGGAGAAAGUGGGGGUUUUUGGGACCCACGGCAUUCGGUUAGCCUAGGUCGGAUUAGCUAGUUGGUGGGGUAAAGGCCUACCAAGGCGACGAUCCGUAACUGGUCUGAGAGGAUGAUCAGUCACACUGGAACUGAGACACGGUCCAGACUCCUACGGGAGGCAGCAGUGGGGAAUAUUGGACAAUGGGCGAAAGCCUGAUCCAGCCAUGCCGCGUGUGUGAAGAAGGUCUUCGGAUUGUAAAGCACUUUAAGUUGGGAGGAAGGGCAGUAAGUUAAUACCUUGCUGUUUUGACGUUACCAACAGAAUAAGCACCGGCUAACUUCGUG
rnacentral:rRNA from 1 species